GCGCGAGCUCGCCAGGUGCAGGCGGUCGUCGCAAUGGCCGUCACAUUCACGGACGCUGAACACUACUUGUUGUGUCUUUUUCACAGCGGCCGUUUGGAGACACGACAGACAUGUUUACUAGAAGAAGACCUACACCUGAGCAGAAUGGAUUUACCGAGGCCACCAAAGGUUUUUGUGCGGUACUUCACCUCGGGCAACGACAACACCUGUGUCGGGCUAGCAUCGAGUGGAACAAGCUAAUGAGGUAGUCAUGUUUGCUUUUUAAUGGAGUACGUGCACAUGGAAUAGUUUUAGCAACUUCACAAAGGCAGCUACGAAGCUUAUGGCCACUGGGCAUCACCUUUUUCAUUUGAAGUGAGCGCAGGCUGGAUUUUGAGCUUAAUAAGCAAGAAAACGAAGGAUUAAAAAACAGAAGUUCCAUCAUCUUCUGAAACGUCGUAUUGAUUCACCUUUAUGGGACCGCAGGGGAAAUAAAGUAUUUCUGUGGGACAUGGAAAUUACGAAGGGACAGUGUCUGAAUGGAGGGAAUUACUUGGAAUUACUAACUUUUCUACCUGACUACAAUGUUGACGUCACUGUGCCACCGCCGCAGUUUUUACUGGGAAGUCGGGAUCCCAUACAUGCUGUUGCUAAGAUGCUGAAUGAUGCCGCAGAGAAGGAGGUCAAAGACACUAACGUCAUUGCAUUUUCAAAGCAGAUAACGUUUGGUGACAUGCAGACAGUGGAAGGCCAAACGCAGCCAGAGGAGGACCAGCACUGCGGCUGUAUUUCGUUUACAAGUGACUGUUCCUAUUCCAGUGGUUUCCAGCAAGAUUUCAGCUCCGUUGAUGAUGUCUGGGCAAAACCAUGGGACAUCAGGUAACUUUUCGUCAGGAGAAGGAUCAGCAGAGAGUUUCAUUUGGAAGGAAUGUCCCAGUAGCCCCUAGUAAUUGUAAAUGCACUGCUGACCAUUCAGUAAUAAACCCAGCAGUGGUCCCUGCAGCUAGCUCCAUAUCCAUUUUCUAUGCACAUUCUCAUCCCUGUUGUACUUUUCUCCAGUGGGAGCAGGCAGCUUAUUAUAUGGUGGUUUUCUUUAACCUCUGGUACGUCUUAAUAAAUAGACAUUACAGUGUAUCGCGACAUUGCCAUAAUACCAGCACAUCACAGAAGCCCACCGGCCACACUUAUUAAUGUGGCACCAAAAGACACUGUAAAAAAAACAUUUUGGAUGCACCGAAAUGAUGUGCCUGUGCACGUAAGUGACAAUGGUCAGUGUACCAGGUAAAAGACUUUUGGUGCCACACCUAGUGGCAGCCUGUUGCAGCAGCUCUCAUCGUGAGCAUUUUUCUCUCUUUUUCUUUAAUUAAUAAAUAAUGUUGUUUAUAUUACAGCUAACCAUUUCAUGAAGCGUAUUGAGAGUGUAUCAAAUUUUAGUUAAAUUUCAUAGUGUAUAUAAUUCAUUUGUUUCAAUACAGUUGUAAUUUCUGAAGCUUUGGAUGUCAUUAAAAAUCUGUGAUUCGA